UCACGAUUGGAGUGAAGAAUUGAUGAGGGGAGAGGCGGCGCCCGAUUCAGGAUAUCCGAACCGGAGAGAUAAUUGGGCGUGGCACUGAACGUGAUGGGCUUUACUAUGUGGAUGAGAUAGCUCAAAAAGGGACUGCCAUGUUAACUCACGGAUCACCUGACAGGAAAGCUUGGCUUUGGCAUCGGCGCUUGGGUCAUCCAUCUAUCGGUUACUUAAAAUUAUUAUUUCCUAGUAUUAUUCCUAA